CCUACGGGUGGCAGCAGUGAGGAAUAUUGGUCAAUGGACGAGAGUCUGAACCAGCCAAGUAGCGUGAAGGAUGACUGCCCUAUGGGUUGUAAACUUCUUUUGUAUGGGAAUAAACUGUUCCACGUGUGGCAUUUUGUAUGUACCAUAUGAAUAAGGAUCGGCUAACUCCGUGCCAGCAGCCGCGGUAAUACGGAGGAUCCGAGCGUUAUCCGGAUUUAUUGGGUUUAAAGGGAGCGUAGGUGGAUUGUUAAGUCAGUUGUGAAAGUUGGGGGCUCAACCGCAGAAUUGCAGUUGACACUGGCAGUCGUGAGUACAGUAGAGGUGGGCGGAAUGCGUGGUGGAGCGGUGAAAUGCUUAGAUAUCACGAAGAACUCCGAUUGCGAAGGCAGCUUACUGGACUGCAACUGACACUGAGGCUCGAAAGUGUGGGUAUCAAACAGGAUUAGAUACCCGGGUAGUC
rnacentral:rRNA from 1 species